UACGGGGGGAGCAAGCGUUGUUCGGAAUCACUGGGCUUAAAGGGCGCGUAGGCGGGUGCUCAAGUCCGGGGUGAAAUCCUCCAGCUCAACUGGAGAACUGCCUUGGAUACUGGGUGUCUCGAGGGUGGUAGGGGUCUGCGGAACUAUCGGUGGAGCGGUGAAAUGCGUUGAUAUCGAUAGGAACUCCGGUGGCGAAGGCGGCAGGCUGGACCACUUCUGACGCUGAGGCGCGAAAGCCAGGGGAGCAAACGGG
rnacentral:rRNA from 1 species